rnacentral:rRNA from 1 species
UACAGAGGUCUCAAGCGUUGUUCGGAUUCAUUGGGCGUAAAGGGUGCGUAGGUGGUGGGGUAAGUCGGAUGUGAAAUCCCGGGGCUCAACCCCGGAACUGCAUUCGAUACUGCCUUGCUCGAGUACUGGAGAGGAGACUGGAAUUUACGGUGUAGCAGUGAAAUGCGUAGAUAUCGUAAGGAACACCAGUGGCGAAGGCGAGUCCCUGGAAAACACCUGACACUGAGGCACGAAAGCUAGGGGAGCAAACAGG